GCAAAGAAGGGGGUCGAGUGAUAAGUGGCAGAUAUGUGAGAGCAGAACUAAUAAACGGGCUCUGCCCGAUCACUAAAAUGGCCACCCCUGUCAGAACUACAGAUCACAAAAUGGCCGACCGCCAAAACUACAAGUCCCAGAAGCAAGGGGAACCCUCAGAAGGUGGAGCCGACUCACAGAUAAAGGGUCAAGAAAAACCAGGAAGAGGAAGAGAGAGUGCUGGAAGGAGCUAUGAACAAUAGAGAAAGAGACUAUAGAGAUUGGCUGGAUUUACUGUGUAUGAGCUGGAUUGUUUUGGAUUUACCUGUUGGCGUUUGGACCUGGACCUACCGAGAACCCGAUUCGUGUACCGAACCCUGCUAUCCUUGACCUCGCCUACGGCUUGGGUGGACCAGGACAGAGAAACAAACACACAGGGUCAUUUUUGAUGAGGGGCGGCAGUGGGCCCAUUGGUGCCUCUGUUCAUGGAAUGGAUGCUGGUGGAGGCCGGGACAGAGAUCCAGAUCAUGACGUGACUAGGGACGAUGGAGGAAUGGAGGGAUGACAUGAGUAGUGAUGAAUGAUCUAGAGAUGGGGGUUGAUGUUCUUUUGUCCUCUGUUCUUUUGGGACCCUGUUCCUUUUGGCAAGGAGGCAGUGGGGGUGGGGAGAAAUGGAGGGAUGAUGUGUUUCGACUCACUGUCCCAUUCUUUUUUGAGGGAGGGAUUAUUGGAGAUGAAGCGAGAGAGAAAUGAUAUGAUGUGUUUAAUCUUUCUUCCAUUCUUUUGGGACUGUUCCUUUUGGUGAAAGGGAGGAUUUAUGUAAUUUCUCUCCUCGUUCUCUUGGGAACCCUGUUCCUCUUGGAGAGAAGGUAUGGGAGGAUGGGGAGGAAAGAAUAUAGGGGUGGGAGAGAGGAAUUUGAAUUCAACGAAUGCUGAUGCCUCGUUUUUAUUAACAUACGUCUAAAUGAGAGAUGAGGUUUGAUUAAUAAGGGUUGUCAGUAUAUUAGCUUAGGACUGAUAGACAUGUUUAACAAGGAAUUUUCAAUUACACAUAGACUUGAGGUAAUUGUUGAAAACUUCUGGCGCUAACCACCCCUGUCAAGUUAUAUUAACUUGUGUAUCCAUCCAGUUGCCAUGUUCAUUGUGAAGGAACAGUGUAUCUCACUUUUUCAGACACUUUAGCCAUAGGUCCGAGUCAAUCUUCAACAGGAUAUAUACAGAAGGAGACUUUCAGACGUGGCACCUUCACAAUAAGGGUCAUUUUUGAUUAGUGGCGGCAGUGGGCCAGACACAGCUUCUCAUUGGUGCCUCUGUUCGUGGAAGGGAUGCUGGUGGAGGCCGGGACGAUGGAGGAAUGGAGGGAUGACAUGAGUAGUGAUGAAAGGGUAGGGGUGAAAGGACCUGAGCCCUAGGACCAUGCCCCAGGACUACCUGACAUGAUGACUCCUUGCUAUCCACAGUCCACCUGACCAUGCUGCUGCUCCAGUUUCAACUGUUCUGCCUUAUUAUUAUUCGACCAUGCUGGUCAUUUAUGAACAUUUGAACAUCUUGGCCAUGUUCUGUUAUAAUCUCCACCCGGCACAGCCAGAAGAGGACUGUCCACCCCACAUAGCCUGGUUCCUCUCUAGGUUUCUUCCUAGGUUUUGCCCUUUCUAGGGAGUUUUUCCUAGCCACCGUGCUUCUACACCUGCAUUGCUUGCUGUUUGGGGUUUUAGGCUGGGUUUCUGUACAGCACUUUGAGAUAUCAGCUGAUGUAUAAAUAAAUUUGAUUUGAUACUGUAAUCCCAUGUGUAUGUGUUUCACAUGGCGAGCCGUGUGUGAUGGGCCAGAAAUGCAGAUCAGGAAACUAUUGCAUGCAGGGAAAAGAUUACGCCAAAGUCCUCUCUGCUACGUCGUGUAUCUGUCGGGCCCACGACUUUGAAUGGCACUUAUAGUAUACUAGUAUAAUAACUCACAAUUGCAGUAUAAUAUGACACAUGUCCGAGCACAUCUUUUAUCACAAAGUAUUUCUUUUUCAAAUCUAAACAUGAGUAGAUAAACAGAAGUUCACAUUCCAUAAUGUCUAUGCGUGUUGUAUGAUGCUUUGUGUAUGUUGUCCCAUUUAAGCCAAUUUUGCAUUUAAUACACUAUUUCAGGAUCCCAUUCAUUUAGUUCAUUUUCGUUGUCAGUGCUCCAAUUAUCAGAUAUGGUUGGGGACCAUUUAACGCAAUUUGCUCCUAACGUCUGUCUCUCGGCUGAGCUCGUUUUUCUAUGCUUAAAAUAAGGUCGAGAAGAUGAGAGCUGUUAAUAGAUUGUAGAUGUUUUUAUCUUCUAAAGGCAGGGAAGAGAAAAGCAGUGAUACAUUUGGAUUUAAAUGGCAGCGGUAUCAGGUCAGACUGAGUUUUAAUUAGAAUCCAUUAGUCUCCUGUGAUAUCUCUCUCUCUCUCUCUGGUGAUAGAGACAUUGAAAUUAAAAAUACGAAAACUAUCUCUUUGAGAAACGUUCAGAGUGAAUAACAAUACAAC